rnacentral:lncRNA from 1 species
GGGACACUCUCUGCUCGUGCCUGCUUGUCCUGCUUGUCUGAAGGCUGGUUGGGGCAUUCUUGCUGGAGAACCAAUCCUGGGAGAGGGGCUUCUUGACCAAGUGUCUGGUCCAUGCUGAAGGGGUACAGUGAGGAAAAGUGAGCUGAGCACCACAGUGGAACCACAGCAACCAGACCACUCCCUCAGUGGAUGGAUAGAGCCCACGCCACUCGGGACGUAUCACUGCCAUGUCCUCAGGAGGCCAGGAUGCUUUGACAAUGCCCAUUCUGAUUCCUCUGGUGGAUGUUUUGGAAAGGGCUCGCCUACGCGUCUGCUACAGGAAAGCAAGCUCCUUGAGAUGAUCUAUCGCGUGGAGACAUGCAGAUAGAUUGCGUAUCAUCCUCGCUUUGGACAGAAGGGAGUUGAAUUAAAGAUCAUAUAAAUAUAUCAUUAAAAACAAAAAUGGUAUUUGAACAGCACAUUAUGGUUUACAAAGCAAUUCCUCUUGUUACUAUAUCCUAUCUUCACGAAAACGCUUUAUAGAAGGUUGUUAUUGAGUAAAAACAACCCUUUAUGUUUCUUAGCUUGAAAAUAUACUUUUUCAUUAUAUGGAUUUGAUUGUAUUGCUCUAUUGCUUUCCUUGGUAUUUCUAAGUCAUUUAUGUUUCACUCCCUUACUCCUAAAAGCUUCAAUAGAUUUCUAGAAUUGAAUAAAAUUUCUCCUUCAACGCCCUCCA